CAGAUUCAGGACUAAUCUCAUUAUGCCCUUUAUCCCUGUUUGCGUCAGGGGCUGCAGGAAACUCAGGUCACCCUACCCCAUGGCCCUGAAUACUCCUUUUCUGACCCCAUCUGUUGGAACCUUUCCUCUGAGCCCUCAGGAGACCCCAGGGCAGCCUCUCUCUGGAACAUUCUCUCUCUUCUUUCUUGGACUGAAACCUACCUCUCCCCAAGACCUGCUUUCCUAUCUAUGUGGGGCUGCCCCUCAUACCCUCACCGGUGUUGGACAGGUCCUUACAGAUCAUCUUCUGUGCCCAUUCUGAGGAGCCCCUGCACAGGCUCUGUGACCCCAUUCCCCCACCCUCCCCAGCACCACACCACCAGGUUGCUCUGGUGGGGCAUGAUGUGGUCUCAGUGUAGGAACCCGACCACCAGUCGUCAGGCCUCAUCUUUCUUCAGCCAUCAGCAUUUCCCUCGGUGGAUCCUCACCAUCUCCCCAUCCCUAAAACAUUUCCAGGAAACAAAGUACUUCUGCUUUUCUGCCCUUGUGCUGUCUCUUUCACAUCAUAUGGAGUGGCCCUCUCAACUCUUGUGUUUCUGUUACAUGCACCUCCAGGGGCUACCAGUGCAUCUUCUGUUCUCUCUCAUGCCUGUCCCGCCAGCCCAGAUGUCUCCACCUGGCUCUCACAUAGGCUGUGUGUGCAAGAGAGAAAUGAACCAAAUGGAAAAUGCUGAGCAGAAAAAGUGGGGUGGCCAGAGAGGAAAUCCCCACGAUGGAGCUGGGGGACCCUGAGGCUUGCAGUCUUCCAAGUGCCAGCUCUCAUCCAGACCCCAGCUCGAGGGUCCGUAGGCCCGCUUGAACCUCAAUCGAAAGAAGCCAAUCACCAUCCUGCAAGUCAGCCCCCAGAAGACACCCUACCAAAGAAGGAGCCCACUGGGGUCACCUGGGAGGAAGAUGAGUGAUGAGACAAACUAUCUUCAUCCUUGCUCCCCCAACUAGCUUGAGUUCUAAAUGUGUCCAAAAUAACCCCAUCUUCCCCAUCUGUCUGUGUGGCACCUUCAUCUCUGUGGUUGCUCAAGGUAAAAAAUUAUCUGGGAGCCAUCCCUGGUUUCUUUCUAUUCUGCCCUGCCACUGAUCCAUUGGUAAGUCUGGUUGCUAGGCAGAGGAUCCACAGGAACCAUUGCUGGAGUUGAGCAGAAGCCAGAUUAGCAUGCUGUCUGAGGCAGGGCAGGAGAGAGGGCUUGGAGAGUUCUCUAAUCCAGGAAAGUAUGUGUAAUGUGCCUGCAACUUCAGACCAUGGGUAGCAGGAGAGCCACUGACUGGAUCCUCCAGUUUUCUGUGGUGAUAGGUUCCAAUACCCUGAGGUUGGCAUCCCAGGUGGGAGGCAGAGUCCCACGACCACCUGCCCUCUUGCUCAUGCCCUUCCCACAGAGAGAAAAGAGAGGCAGCUCUGGCAUCCCUGGAGCCUAGUGCUCUCCUUCCACAUGCAUAGUGCUAAGCUGAGCUGGGCAGAGCAGGGAGCACUGGCAGGUUGGUUUAGAGGACUGAACACAAGGGUGGAAGCACCAGCCAGGUGGAGGAGUAAAAAGACAUUUCUGGCAAAGAAAAUAGUCUCUGCAAACGAAGAAAGGCCAGAGAAGGUAUAGGACUAUUCAGCAAUCAGCACUAUGAGCUGUUUGGAGUGGCUGGGACCUAGGGCUGUGCCUGCAGAGGGUGAGGCCAGAGAGGCAGGCAGGACCAGGUCACAGAGCCUCCGGUGCUGUGCAUUUUCAAUGCCCAGCUAUGCUUUGCUGUUAGGGGAAAUAAGAUUUAAUACAGGACUCAAAAAUAAAAAGAAACAAAAUGUCUAACAAGCUACACCUUCAGUCUUAUUGAUAAAAUAUCGAGCCAUUAGUUGGGAUCUUUGGUAUUAAGUGUGGUUGAAAGAGAUGGUUAAAUAAUUACUUCCUCACUGCAAGGAAGAUGGAAGGAGCCUGCUGCUAUGCAUCCAAUCCCUGUGGGCAUGAAAUCUCUAAGCAUGACACAUCCAUGUACAAAGGCCACAGAAUAAUAUUUUUCUACAGCUAAAUAUGUGUAAGAGAACCAUUUGUAAUUUUGCAUAAUCUAUGGCAUGGCUAAAAGUGGAUUACGCUACAAAGGGAGGAAAACAAAUAAGAGCUUGGACCAACUCUG
rnacentral:lncRNA from 1 species